ensembl:lncRNA
CGCUUGCUCACAUCGAGGCUGGCUUCUCACUGGAAGCCUCGAGCUGCAUUCCUCUCCAUUCACAGGAAGGGAGCCGGCGUGUUGAGCGCACUAGUAGUCCGUGACGAGUGAAAAUGUCCUUAAGUUUUGGAAUUUAAUCAUGGCAUGGAUAUCUAACCCAAGGAUCACUUGAAUUUUGGCUGAACCCUGCGCUCCGUUGGAUCCCAGAGAUCCUGCCCCUGUUGUGUAAACCGCAACGAGAGUUUGUCACGAGCCAGACAGUGGCAAAACAAAGAUGGUGCUAGACAGUGAACAGCAGCUGGCCACACUUGUUCCGUGUGCAGGGAUUUGCACGGAGAAACACAAGAAGAAAAGACUACGAAUUUGGGUGAGGCCAUGGUUGGGGAGACGUGGCCAGUUUGGGUGGUCUGUACUGCAGAGAGAGUUGGAGAGGCAUGAUAGGAUGUGUUUCAGCAAGAUUCUGCAGAUGACCUCCGUCAAAUUAGAUUUCCUGCUGGGUAUGACGGGAUCCCUCAUCAGAAAGCAGGACACCCAAGAUGAGACAGGCAAUCACUGUGAAACGUUCAAAUCCCAAUACAGGAUUGGGAACACCACUGUGUCCAAUAUUGUUAUGGAGACAUGUGAAGCCCUGCAUCAGGUCAUGAAGGAAGAAUUCCUGAAGGUGUGGCUUUUCACCACAGAGGACUGUAGACACCAGCAUCGGAGGCUGAAUGGCAGGCAAUUACCAAAUAUUUAGAAGAGAAAUGGCAGUUUCCGCAUUGCCUUGGUGCCCUUGAGUUUUUCAUACAACCCCCUAGCCAACAAUGGCAGUAUGUGUCACUACUACAUGUCUAGGUUCCCCAUCCUCAUGAUGGCUGCUGCGGAUGCAAACUAUGAGUUUAUGUUAUGCCAGUGUGGGCACCCGGAGCACAAUCUCCAAUGCUGGGCUGUUUUCUCACUCUGACUGCAGAAAAGCAAUGGACUGGGGCCUUCUAAAUGUUCUGCCACCUGAGCCACUAACUCAAAUGUUGUGGUUCUGUACAUGUUUGUGGGGGAUGAGGCGUACCCCCUGUGGACUGACCUGAUAAAGCCCUAUCCAUAUCGACAGAUGGACCACGACCAGAGAAGCCGCAACUAUCGCCUCAAGGGCAUGGCGAGUAGUUGAAAAUGCCUUUGGCAUCCUCGCUAACAGGCUGAGGUUGUUUAGGUCCACCAUUUGCCGUGAACCAGACAAGGUUACGAAGAUCACCAUGGCCUUCCUCUGCGUACACAACUUCCUCAUAGAGCGUAGGUCUGAGGCGUACACGCCACCAGCGUUUGCAGACUGGGAAGAUGCUGACCACUGGAUCAUCGAGGGAGCCUGGAGGAGACAUGGACUGUGGAGCCUGGAAGGGGAUGUUAACCCCACAAUCAGUGCAAAAGAGCAACGCAACCUGCUAAGGGAUUAUUUUGUAUCACCUGCAAGUCAGGUUCCAUGGCUGGAGGAUCACAUUUAAGUAAGUCAUGGACGCAAGGGCUGUUCAUAUUCUGUUGGAAGGUAGCCAUGCUUUACUGUGUGUAGCCUAAUGUCUAAGAAUGUAUGUAGUUACCACUAUUGAGUCUUGACUGACAAAUGUGAUGACAGCUGUACUUUCUUUUUCAAUACAGUAAUUGAAAUAAAGUUAUAUAAAAG